UGACGCGGGAGGGCGGGCAGGGCCGUGGGGCGCGCGCGGGAAGGGACUUGUGGGAAGGAAGGGAGCGGAAAGGCCGAGCGCCACCCGCCCCGGGAGUCUCCAGAGCAGCGCGCGGGGCAGACCUCCUCGGGUCCUCCGGCGCUUCGGUCUCCGGAGACGCCCGGCCUCCUGAAGGGUUCGGCUUGUCCUCCUCUGGCGCUCAGCUCCCUCUGGCGGCCGGGCUGGCAGGACCUCAGCGCCCAGCCCUUCCGUCUUGUUACGUCCAGGGUCUCACUCUGUGUCUCAGGCUGGAGUACAGUGGUGCAAUUGUAGAUGGCUGCAGCCCUCGACCUCCUGGGCUCAAGUGAUCCUCCUGCCUUAGCCUCUCGAGUAGCUGGGAGUACAGAUGCACACCACCACACCCAGCCUAGAAUGAAGAAACCUGCAGUUGGGAAGCAUGAAUUUACCACCUAUUAAGAGUCUCACUUUGUCGCCCAGGCUGGAGUACAGUGGUGCGAUCUUGGCUCUCUGCAACCUCUGCCUCCCAGGUUCAAGUAAUUCUCCUGCCUCAGCCUCCCGAGUAGCUGGUACUACAGGCACACAUUUGUAGAGAUGGUGUUUCCCCAUGUCAUCCAGGCUGGUCUGGAACUCCUGGGAUCAAGUAAUCCACCCGCCUCGGCCUCCCAAAGUGCUGGGAUUACAGACGUGAGCCACCACGCCCUGCCAAUAAAAAGAUUAUCUCCAGAUGCUGGAAUGACCAGUAAUUUAUUUUCUUCCUUUUUUUUUGUCUGCACUUUCUACCAUAAUCAUAUGUUAGCUUCUUACUAAGAAGAAAAGUCAAUGUUAUUUCCCUGAAAAAGUAAUGUUGUUUGGUUAUUAAACAAAUUUAAUUUUCUAAACAAGAGUACGACAGGUAAACUGCCUACCUUAAAAGCAAACGAACACAAAUAAAUAAACUAACCAUCUUCCACUUCAGUCUCUGUCCU
rnacentral:lncRNA from 1 species